GCUGCGGAGCCGGCGCAGAGGGGUCUGCCUGCAGCCGUGCGACCCUCGCCCCUCUACGGCCGCGUCACGGGCCAGCAGGUUGUUGGUGGAGACUCCUCCCUAUAAUAAAAGACACAUUAACAGGAGAAAAACAAACAGAAGUUGAAUAACAUGCAUACCUCUUAUAUGCACGGAGGAUACCCAGGAAAACUCUCCGAAAUGGCCCAAGCCACCACCUUCAAUACCAUUUUCGGCUAAAGACUGAAGAAAGAUAUUGUGGGGUGCAACACCAGGACACCCCGCCCAGCUCCUCCCAUCUCCAGCACUGCCCACCCGAUGCCCCACUUUUCUGCACUUCUGGGCUGCUGCACGUGUUCCCAGCCUGGACUGUCCUUCCUUCCCCUUCCACCACAGGCGAGCGCCCACUCCUCCUUCAAGAUGCAGGUGCUCCCCGCCCUGUGCUGGGGGUCCUGUUACACCAGCCCCUUCAGGUGGGCUCCCCGCACUUCCUUCCUUCCUUCUGCGGUGCUAACGUGGGCGCCCCACCCCUUUCCCAGCCCUCUCUGCCAGCCCAGCCUGGGCCCCUGAGGUUUGAAAUGGGGUCAGGAACAAGGGUCCCCCAUGGGGCAGAGCCUGAGGAAGUUCCCAUGCUGGAAACUUGCUGCUCCCACUGAGAUCUCCCUGUGCGUGCGGCUCAGCUGGAGAAAGAGCGAGCCCAGAGGAAGGGGUGUGCCGCCAAGGGCCCCCGCCCCGCUCCUCGUACCUCUCUCUCAGGAUCGAGUCUGAACACCCUCCUGCAACCCAGAAGGCCUGAGAUCCCCAGCAGCCUUCCCCUCUCACAGCCCUGUUCCAACACCUGCAGCCUCACCCACCGCGGCCCCCUGCACUGCAGAGGGGCUCCUAUCUGCUUCAGCAUGCACCCACCUGUCUCCCCUCCACCUGCCCAGCAUCCUUCAGGUGGCAGCUGAACACAAAGGCUGCCUCUGGACCCCCACCUGGGCCUUGGGUCCAGUGGCCCUUCCACCCCCGUCUCCUGGGUGUCCCUCCAUGGCUCUUGGCUUCGCUGGACUGAGCCCUGGGUAGGCAGAGACCCCAGAGCCUCUCCCUGCUUUCUGCAGCCCCUGGCUUCAGAGGGUGAGGGAUGGACAGACAGGGCUAGCGACCUGUACAGUCACAAGGCUCCGCCUCAGAAGGGCCCUGUGCCCAGUCCAACUCUCUGCUGUGCCAUCAUGAAAUUCUUAACAUUCUAAGACAGUGCAUUACAUUAGGGUCUAGCCAUUCCUCUCACUCACCUGGAGGAGAGUCCUAGCGUGGGCAUUAAUAAGUAAGUGACCCUCUCGGGGCGUGUGACCCACUGGGCGCAGGCAGGGAGCUGCUGUCUUGACCACUACAGCCCCAGUGCCCCUUCUCCUGCUGGUGGCUGCCCUUGCCAGCCUGGAAGUACGCAGUUUAGGCCGAGGUUCCCUGCACAGUGCCGUCCCGCUCACACCAGACCCCACACAGGCACUGUUUCAGUGCCGCUUGUCAACCUUACCAAGGCUCCAGGCUGGCUGAAGGAACGUCAGGAAGCCCACCAGGCCCUGCAUGCCCCCGACCCAACCCCACUCGCUGCAGCGCCGGCCUCGGGGCGGCUCUGGCCUGGCGCUCGCUGGGAACACUCUGCGGGUGGCAGGUCUCUCUUGCACCCCGCUCCCCACCCAGGGGGCGUCUUUCUUGACUCUGCUUUCAUCCUGGCACUCAGCUCCCUCUAAGGUCCUUCAAAGGGUCCUUGUGUACCCACCAGCCGAGAACAAGUUACGAGCUGUGUCUUCAGAAAUCUCCAGCAACCUUGGCCCCAGACAGGCCCUCCGACGGAGAUGGCGACAGGAACUUUCACACCAGAAAGAAAAUCAGUCCCCUUUUAUUGAGAAAAUAGAGUCGACCCCUCAA